CAUAAGUAAUGUCCUGCAAGAACAAAAUUUGACUUGCAUUUCAUUGCUUGAGCCAGAGCCGUAUUACCGUAAGAACUGAAUGACAACUCAACAGUCUUUACAGCAACACAAAUAAACUCUGAUACCAACGCAUAAGAGAUUGUGUCACAAAGAAACAAUAACAACCAAACUCUAGUCGAGUUCACUCAUUUCUCAUUGCUUCUCUGUUCUACCCUCUCUACAUUAUAUAGCACGUUUUUCCAGUUUCUGACACUAAAGUGGGGACUUAGGAAAAAAAAUCGAUUUUUUUUAAAGUUAACCGGAAUGUGCCGUAACGCAUGCGCGUUUGUUACUGAUAGGCCCAGCAACAUUCCGAACAUAUUUUUAUGACGGUUAAGCCUCAUGGGACCUGAAAAUAACAAAAUACGGCAUAACACAUAAACGGCUUGAGAAAUUGAAGAAGUGAGAGGGUACGCCACACCACCAAAAUUUUUUUUUUAAAAAAAAGACCCACAACCGUAUCCAAAGCAGUAGCAUUACCCCUAGGCCCCAGCCUAGGCUUUACCUUAACCCUGAACAUAGCCCUAGUCCGUAAUUCUUGCUGUAAUCCAUACACUUGUAAUCUAUACAUACAGUUGUAAUCGAUACAGUUGUAAUCCAUACACCUUUAAUCCAUACACUUUUAAUCCAUACAUCUGUGUCUCCAAAUAUUAAACCGAGGUGAUAAAGAUGAAUGGUACAGCACGCACGCAUCACCUUUUUUAAAAAAAAAACCCACAACCGUAUCCAAAGCAGUAGCAUUACCCCUAGGCCCCAGCCUAGGCUUUACCUUAACCCUGAACAUAGCCCUAGUCCGUAAUUCUUGCUGUAAUCCAUACACUUGUAAUCUAUACAUACAGUUGUAAUCGAUACAGUUGUAAUCCAUACACCUUUAAUCCAUACACUUUUAAUCCAUACAUCUGUGUCUCCAAAUAUUAAACCGAGGUGAUAAAGAUGAAUGGUACAGCACGCACGCAUCACCUUUUUUAAAAAAAAAGUUCAGGUAAGCACAAGAUAACUGGUACUCCACGGUACAAAGCAGUUGGUUAAAAAAAGGACUUGUCACAAAGUGACAAAUCUGUCGAACAGAGGCUUAAUCUCAGAAGAUCGUAGCACAAAGGCUACUCUACUUUUUACAAUACCACGUUCUUGUUUAAGUCGUCUGCAUAGGAUUUAUCUCUGGAAAUUUUAGAUUUUGAUAGUUGCAGCACCUCGACGGUUUUUCUCCGACUCAGUGCAUUGGGACUUAGGAACGACAGAAGCCGUUCUAUUCUUGUUCGCCUAAGAUUAUCCAGAGGUAAUUAUCAUUGCUUUCUAGCACGGAUUCUGACUUAGAGGCGUUCAGUCAUAAU